rnacentral:lncRNA from 1 species
GUUUCUAGAGCUCGGAGGCUGCUGGUAGGGGGUGCUUGUAGACAUGGAAGAAGGCCUCACCUUCUCCAUGGCUGACAACCGAGAAGGCUGGUCUGACUUGGAAGAAGCUGUGUGGCCAACAGCCAAUUGGCUGUAUCACAUGGGCACCACUUUCAGAUAAAAACAUAGACCUGAAUGGCAUCAUCCAGUAUCCAAGGAAACCAUUGUGUCUGUAACCAGCUAAUGAGCUGCAACAGAGCCUGGCCUUCAUUUUCAGCAAAUUAAGUUCAUCCCUCAUAGGAAUUGUGGUCUGGCUGUGGCACCGCUCCUAGGUAUGGGUGGGAUUUGUUUCUUCUAGCAGUUGUAGGUUAGCCACAUGGGUACGUGCUGUCGCACCACACAACAAAAUUUUCUCUAUAAUAACCAGUCUAAGUAGGCUUUUACCCCACAAAAGUAGAUCCCAUUUAAUUUACUUUGUGUUUAUAGCACUCCCUCUCAAACCGCACCA